AUGGGCUUUCCAAGCUGGGCUCUGCACUGCGGGGCCGCCGGCGCUCCCUGCCCCCUCCCGUCUUCUCCACUCUGCCCUGCUGCCUGCUGCUUACAUAAGCCCUGCGCGCACAUGCAGUGAAUUUAUCUUCUCCAUUAUGGAAGCUCCCGGCAAGACAGUGAGGCUGAAAUGCUGCUAGAUGUCCUCCCCGCUGGAGCUGUCCAGUAGUCACUCCCUGAAACAACAGAUCCAGCAGCAGCAAAUACCCUGUGUCAGGUCAGAAAGGCGGCCAGAUCUAAGCCUGAACAGAAAACUCCCUCCUAAGGGAACAGGAACAUUCGGGAAGGGGGCAUCUGAGCAAGUGCUUUAACCUCUCUGCUAGCACAGCGCUUCGUCUAACCUGCUGGGACAACCUGCCAGCUGCAGUGGGCUGGCUCCAGCCAGCCAAAGUCAUCAGACCUCUUUUGUCAAGAGAAGUGAAGGACAAACUGGUUUGUGCUGAAUCGUCUCAAUUAUCCCAUAGACUGAUUGACGCUGGAGUUGGAAGAUGAUCACAUGGAAAAAAGACUGCACUUCCCACCCUCCCUUGGAACUGAACUUGACUGUAUGACUACCUUCUGGGCAAUGAGCCGUAAAAGGAUGCAGUAUGUACAAGUUCUGCAAAGUGACUUCGGAAAGAAGAACCAUGACUCCUCUUCCCCUUUGUCUUUCCUGCUGGGUGGAAUGAGGAUGCAAACUUGGGCAUGGAAAAUGGACAGAAUGUGGUUCAAUGGAUCUCAUACCAGUCUUGGCCUGCUUAACUCCUGAUUUUGUUGUUCUGCAAAAGAUAAAAAUCUGUCUAGUUUAAA